rnacentral:rRNA from 1 species
GACGAACGCUGGCGGCGUGCUUAACACAUGCAAGUCGAACGGAGAAUUUAUUUCGGUAAAUUCUUAGUGGCGAACGGGUGAGUAACGCGUGGGCAACCUGCCCUUCAGAUGGGGACAACAUCCCGAAAGGGGUGCUAAUACCGAAUACGAUCACGCUGCCGCAUGGCGGUGUGAUGAAAGAUGGCCUCUAUUUAUAAGCUAUCGCUGAAGGAUGAGCCUGCGUCUGAUUAGCUAGUUGGUGGGGUAACGGCCUACCAAGGCGAUGAUCAGUAGCCGGGCUGGGGGGAUGAACGGCAACAUUGGGACUGAGACACGGCCCAAACUCCGACGGGAGGCAGCAGUGGGGAAUAUUCCGCAAUGGACGAAAGUCUGACGGAGCAACGCCGCGUGAGUGAUGAAGGUUUUCGGACUGUAAAGCUCUGUUGUUUAGGACGAAAGUGCCUGUUGCGAACAGUUACAGGUAUUGACGGUACUGAACGAGGAAGCCACGGCUAACUACGUGCCAGCAGCCGCAGUAA